rnacentral:lncRNA from 1 species
GUCUGGAUAGAUAAUCAUGAUGGUGGCUGAAGAGAGACAAUGGUGGUGCUAGGUUACCAGUGGCGUGGAGCUCAGAGCUAAUGCAGAGCAGCUGGAGCAGUGCUGAGUUCAAAACGUGUUAGAAAAAAUAUUAUAUGAAUGAUGCUAUUUUUUUCACUGAAUCACAUCAAGAAGCACAUGAUGUUAAGCUGUCUCAUCAUUGGUGGUGGU